CAGUUCAGAUUGUAGGCUGAAACUCGCCUAUAUGAAGUCGGAAUUGCUAGUAAUCGCGGAUCAGCAUGCCGCGGUGAAUACGUUCCCGGGCCUUGUACACACCGCCCGUCACACCAUGAGAGUCGAUAACACCCGAAGCCUGUAGUCUAACAGCAAUGAGGACGCAGUCGAAGGUGGGAUUGAUAAUUAGGGUGAAGUCGUAACAAGGUAGC
rnacentral:rRNA from 1 species